UACAGAGGUCCCAAGCGUUGUUCGGAUUCACUGGGCGUAAAGGGUGCGUAGGUGGUUGGGUAAGUUUGAUGUGAAAUCUCCGGGCUUAACCCGGAAACUGCAUUGAAUACUAUUUGACUAGAGGGUUGGAGGGGGGACUGGAAUACUUGGUGUAGCAGUGAAAUGCGUAGAUAUCAAGUGGAACACCAGUGGCGAAGGCGAGUCCCUGGACAACUCCUGACACUGAGGCACGAAAGCUAGGGGAGCAAACAGG
rnacentral:rRNA from 1 species